GAUGAACGCUGGCGGCGUGCCUAAUACAUGCAAGUCGAGCGAACGGACGAGAAGCUUGCUUCUCUGAUGUUAGCGGCGGACGGGUGAGUAACACGUGGAUAACCUACCUAUAAGACUGGGAUAACUUCGGGAGACCGGAGCUAAUACCGGAUGAUAUUUUGAACCGCAUGGUUCAAAAGUGAAAGACGGUCUUGCUGUCACUUAUAGAUGGAUCCGCGCUGCAUUAGCUAGUUGGUAAGGUAACGGCUUACCAAGGCAACGAUGCAUAGCCGACCUGAGAGGGUGAUCGGCGACACUGGAGCUGAGACACGGUCCAGACGCCUGCGGGAGGCAGCAGUAGGGAAUCUGCCGCAAUGGGCGAAAGCCUGACGGAGCAACGCCGCGUGAGUGAUGAAGGUCUUCGGAUCGUAAAGCUCUGUUAUUAGGGAAGAACAUAUGUGUAAGGAACUGUGCACAUCUUGACGGUACCUGAUCAGAAAGCCACGGCUAACUACGUG
rnacentral:rRNA from 1 species